GGUUCAGGAUGAACGCUAGCGACAGGCCUAACACAUGCAAGUCGAGGGGCAGCACAAGGAGUAAUCUGAGGUGGCGACCGGCGCACGGGUGAGUAACACGUAUGCAACCUGGCUGUAAGAGGGGGAAUAACCCCGGAGAAAUCCGGACUAAUACCGCAUAAUACUUAGAAUCCGCAUGGAUUUUAGUUAAACAUUUAUGGCUUACAGAUGGGCAUGCGUAUGAUUAGCUGGUUGGAGAGGUAACGGCUCCCCAAGGCAACGAUCAUUAGGGGUUCUGAGAGGAAGGUCCCCCACACUGGUACUGAGACACGGACCAGACUCCUACGGGAGGCAGCAGUGAGGAAUAUUGGUCAAUGGACGCAAGUCUGAACCAGACCCAAGUCGCGUGAAGGAAGAAUGUCCUAUGGAUUGUAAACUUCUUUUGAAGGGGAAUAAAGUACGGUACGUGUACCGUUUUGUAUGUACCCUUCGAAUAAGGAUCGGCCAACUCCGUGCCAGCCGCCGC
rnacentral:rRNA from 1 species